AAUAGUGAUAUGGAGCAAAACCCUAAAAGCGGUCUCAGUUCGGAUUGAAGGCUGAAAUUCGCCUUCAUGAAGCUGGAAUUGCUAGUAAUGGCAGGUCAGCAUACUGCCGUGAAUACGUUCCCGGGCCUUGUACACACCGCCCGUCACACCAUGAGAGUUGGAAAUACCCGAAGCCUGUGAGCUAACAGUAAUGAGGCAGCAGUCGAAGGUAGAGCCAAUGAUUGGGGUGAAGUCGUAACAAGGUACC
rnacentral:rRNA from 1 species